UAAGGAAUAUUGGUCAAUGGACGCAAGUCUGAACCAGCCAUGCCGCGUGAAGGAUGAAGGUCCUCUGGAUUGUAAACUUCUUUUAUAUGGGACGAAAAAAGGGCAUUCUUGCUCACUUGACGGUACCAUAGGAAUAAGCACCGGCUAACUCCGUGCCAGCAGCCGCGGUAAUACGGAGGGUGCGAGCGUUAUCCGGAUUUACUGGGUUUAAAGGGUGCGUAGGUGGGCAGGUAAGUCAGUGGUGAAAUCUCCGGGCUUAACCCGGAAACUGCCAUUGAUACUAUCUGUCUUGAAUAUCCUGGAGGUGAGCGGAAUAUGUCAUGUAGCGGUGAAAUGCUUAGAUAUGACAUAGAACACCGAUUGCGAAGGCAGCUCACUACGGGGUCAUUGACACUGAGGCACGAAAGCGUGGGGAUCAAACA
rnacentral:rRNA from 1 species